GACGAACGCUGGCGGCGUGCUUAACACAUGCAAGUCGAACGGAGUGGCGAACGGGUGAGUAACACGUGGGUGACCUGCCCUGCACUUCGGGAUAAGCCUGGGAAACUGGGUCUAAUACCGGAUAGUGUGGGAUGGGUCCGCGGCCUAGCAGCUUGUUGGUGGGGUAAUGGCCUACCAAGGCGGCGACGGGUAGCCGGCCUGGGAGGGUGGACGGCGACAUUGGGCCUGAGACACGGACCAGACGCCUACGUUGGGCAGUAGUGGUGAAUAUUGCACAAGGGGCGGAAGCGUGAUGCAGCGACGCCGCGUGGGUGAUGCCGGCCUUCGGGUUGUAAACUCCUUUCACCAUAGACGCGGUAGAUGGAGAAGAAGCACCGGCUAACUACGUGCCAGCAGCCGCGGUAAUAC
rnacentral:rRNA from 1 species